CUCCUACUCCCUCUGUCCGGAAAAACUUGUCCCAAGCUUGUUCCUCAAAUGAAUGUAUCUAGCACUAACUUGGUGCUAGAUACAUCUAUUUAAGGGACAACUUUUUUCGGACGGAGGGAGUACCUU
rfam:Triticum aestivum genome assembly, contig: Triticum_aestivum_CS42_TGACv1_scaffold_559706_7AL